rnacentral:misc_RNA from 1 species
CAACCCUCAAGCUUCGCUUGGUGUUGGGGACCGGCCGAGUGAAAACGAAGCCGCCCCCGAAAUUUAGUGGCGGCCCUCCGAGGCGACCUCUGCGUAGUAACUCAACCUCGCACUGGAAAAAUCGGAGCGGCCACGCCGUAAAACCCCCGACUUUAUCAAGG